GGAUGAUAUACCAGCCAAGUUAUGGACUGUAAGAGGCAUAAAAUAAAAAUUCAAAUGGUGGGAAUGUGCAGUUUUGUCAUUUAUAUAAUUCUUAAACUUAAAGUUUCAACUUUAUGUAAUACAAUGAAAUGUCACAAUGGGAUGCAGGAGCGGAAAUUUGGAAUUUUUACGGCAGUGCAUUAUUGUUCACAAUAGCCAUUCUCAAAGUAGGGUUAUUUAUGUCUUUUAUUAAUAUUUGAUUACGCUAUCUUGGUCAAACCUAAAGCUAUAAGGAUUUUACGAUCAAGGCCUGUUCCAAUUAGAUCUUAUGCUGUAUAUGGGGCUGUAAUACACAGUUUAGGGAAGAGUUCACACAUUAAUAGAACUAGUUCACUGGUAGUUAUCUUGAAUGGUUGUGUAACCAGAAAGUGCCCUUUGGUUGACUUUGAUCUUUUCAU
rnacentral:misc_RNA from 1 species